rnacentral:rRNA from 1 species
GAUGAACGCUGGCGGCGUGCCUAAUACAUGCAAGUCGAGCGAACAGACGAGGAGCUUGCUCCUCUGACGUUAGCGGCGGACGGGUGAGUAACACGUGGAUAACCUACCUAUAAGACUGGGAUAACUUCGGGAAACCGGAGCUAAUACCGGAUAAUAUAUUGAACCGCAUGGUUCAAUAGUGAAAGACGGUUUUGCUGUCACUUAUAGAUGGAUCCGCGCCGCAUUAGCUAGUUGGUAAGGUAACGGCUUACCAAGGCAACGAUGCGUAGCCGACCUGAGAGGGUGAUCGGCCACACUGGAACUGAGACACGGUCCAGACUCCUACGGGAGGCAGCAGUAGGGAAUCUUCCGCAAUGGGCGAAAGCCUGACGGAGCAACGCCGAGUGAGUGAUGAAGGUCUUCGGAUCGUAAAACUCUGUUAUUAGGGAAGAACAAAUGUGUAAGUAACUAUGCACGUCUUGACGGUACCUAAUCAGAAAGCCACGGCUAACUACGUG